ACUCCUACGGGAGGCAGCAGUGGGGAAUAUUGCACAAUGGGCGCAAGCCUGAUGCAGCCAUGCCGCGUGUGUGAAGAAGGCCUUCGGGUUGUAAAGCACUUUCAGUCGUGAGGAAGGUAGUGUAGUUAAUAGCUGCAUUAUUUGACGUUAGCGACAGAAGAAGCACCGGCUAACUCCGUGCCAGCAGCCGCGGUAAUACGGAGGGUGCAAGCGUUAAUCGGAAUUACUGGGCGUAAAGCGUGCGCAGGCGGUCUGUUAAGCGAGAUGUGAAAGCCCCGGCUCAAGCCUGGGAACUGGCAUUUCGAACUGGCAGUACUAGAGU
rnacentral:rRNA from 1 species